rnacentral:rRNA from 1 species
CAGGCUUAACACAUGCAAGUCGAGGGGCAGCAUUUCAGUUUGCUUGCAAACUGGAGAUGGCGACCGGCGCACGGGUGAGUAACACGUAUCCAACCUGCCGAUAACUCGGGGAUAGCCUUUCGAAAGAAAGAUUAAUACCCGAUGGCAUAAUUAGACCGCAUGGUCUUAUUAUUAAAGAAUUUCGGUUAUCGAUGGGGAUGCGUUCCAUUAGGCAGUUGGUGAGGUAACGGCUCACCAAACCUUCGAUGGAUAGGGGUUCUGAGAGGAAGGUCCCCCACAUUGGAACUGAGACACGGUCCAAACUCCUACGGGAGGCAGCAGUGAGGAAUAUUGGUCAAUGGGCGCAGGCCUGAACCAGCCAAGUAGCGUGAAGGAUGACUGCCCUAUGGGUUGUAAACUUCUUUUAUAUGGGAAUAAAGUUUUCCACGUGUGGAAUUUUGUAUGUACCAUAUGAAUAAGGAUCGGCUAACUCCGUGCCAGCAGUCGCGGUAAUACGGAGGAUCCGAGCGUUAUCCGGAUUUAUUGGGUUUAAAGGGAGCGUAGGUGGACAGUUAAGUCAGUUGUGAAAGUUUGCGGCUCAACCGUAAAAUUGCAGUUGAUACUGGCUGUCUUGAGUACAGUAGAGGUGGGCGGAAUUCGUGGUGUAGCGGUGAAAUGCUUAGAUAUCACGAAGAACUCCGAUUGCGAAAGCAGCUCACUGGACUGCAACUGACACUGAUGCUCGAAAGUGUGGGUAUCAAACAGGAUUAGAUACCCUGGUAGUCCACACAGUAAACGAUGAAUACUCGCUGUUUGCGAUAUA